CACGCUCAUCACCUUCCCUGGCCCUGCCGUGUCACUCACUUUCCAUCUCUGGCUUGGUGCCUUCGGGUCACUCGAACACAGGUGCUGCAUGGCUGUCGUCAGCUCGUGUCGUGAGCUGUUGGGUUAAGUCCCGCAACGAGCGCAACCCUUGUCCUUAGUUGCCAGCACGUAAUGGUGGGAACUCUAAGGAGACCGCCGGUGACAAACCGGAGGAAGGUGGGGAUGACGUCAAGUCAUCAUGGCCCUUACGGCCAGGGCUACACACGUACUACAAUGGUAGGGACAGAGGGCUGCAAGCCGGCGACGGUAAGCCAAUCCCAGAAACCCUACCUCAGUCCGGAUUGGAGUCU
rnacentral:rRNA from 1 species